rnacentral:rRNA from 1 species
AUUGAACGCUGGCGGCAGGCCUAACACAUGCAAGUCGGGCGAGCGGCGGGCGGGAGAGUUAUGUAUGAGGAUCUGCCUGAUGGAGGGGGAUCACUACUGGACACGGUCGCUAAUACCGCAUACCCUCAGAUGCACCCAUAUGGGUUUAGCGUGUAGGUGAGGUAACGGCUCACCUAGGCGACGAUCCCUAGCUGGUCUGAGAGGAUGAUCAGCCACACUGGGACUGAGACACGGCCCAGACUCCUACGGGAGGCAGCAGUGGGGAAUAUUGCACAAUGGGCGAAAGCCUGAUGCAGCCAUGCCGCGUGUAUGAAGAAGGCCUUCGGGUUGUAAAGUACUUUCAGUCGGGAGGCGUUACCGACAGAAGAAGCACCGGCUAACUCCGUGCCAGCAGCCGCGGUAAUAC